rnacentral:rRNA from 1 species
UCAAGCUAAAAAGGGCGCAAGGGGGAUGCCUUGGCAUUGGUAGCCGAUGAAGGACGUAGCGAUCUACGAUAAGCCACGGGAAGUCGAAAGCAGGCAAUGAUCCGUGGAUUUCCGAAUGGGGAAACCCGGCAGAGCAAUACUCUGUCAACUCCUUGUGAAUAAAAUAGCAUUGAGUAGGGAACCUCCUGAACUGAAACAUCUAAGUAGGGAGAGGAAAAGAAAUCAACCGAGAUUCCGCUAGUAGUGGCGAGCGAACGCGGAAGAGGCCAAACCAAGAGUAGUAAUACUUUUGGGGUUCGGACUGAGUACGGUAUUGACAAGAGUUAGUAGAAUGGAAUGGGAAGUUCAACCAUAGAGUGUGAGAGUCACGUAUACGAAAACUUGAGUCAGCCAUCAGUAUCCAGAGUACCGCCGGACACGUGAAACCCGGUGGGAAUACGGGGGGACCACCCUCCAAGCCUAAAUACUCACCAAUGACCGAUAGUGUAUAGUACUGUGAAGGAAAGGUGAAAAGAACCCCUGGCGGGGAGUGAAAAAGAACCUGAAACCUUGUGCCUACAAGCACAUAGAGCACGUCAACGUGUGAUAUGGUACCUUUUGUAGAAUGGUCCGGCGAGUGAAUGUCACUAGCGAGGUUAAGAACUUAAGGUUUGCAGCCGAAGCGAAAGCGAGUCUUAAUAGGGCGCGUUUAGUUAGUGGUAUUCGACCCGAAACCGAGUGACCUAGCCAUGAGCAGGCUGAAGUGGAGGUAAAACUCCAUGGAGGGCCGAACCCACUCCCGUUGAAAUGGUAGGGGAUGACUUGUGGCUAGCGGAGAAAUUCCAAUCGAACUCGGAGAUAGCUGGUUCUCUCCGAAAUAGCUUUAGGGCUAGCCUCAAUUAACAUUACCGCAGGUAAAGCACUGAAUGGGCUAGGGGGCGAAAGCUUACUGAACCCUAUCAAACUCAGAAUGGCGGAUAAUGAAUAAUUGGGAGUCACACUACGUGAGAUAAGUUUCGUGGUGGAAAGGGAAACAGCCCAGACCCACAGCUAAGGUCCCAAAGUACAGUUAAGUGGAAAAGGAUGUGAAGUUGCGCAGACAACCAGGAUGUUGGCUCAGAAGCAGCCACUCAUUCAAAGAGUGCGUAAUAGCUCACUGGUCGAGUGAUUUUGCGCCGAAAAUUUAACGGGGCUAAACUGUACACCGAAGCUUGGGAAUAUACCUUAUGGUAUGUUGGUAGGAGAGCGUCGUAUGCGGGGUGAAGUCGUAGCGAAAGCGGCGGUGGACUGCAUAGGAGUGAGAAUGCCGGAAUGAGUAGCGAGAAUUAUGUGAGAAUCAUAAUGGCCGAAAGACUAAGGUUUUAGAAGGAAGGUUCGUCCGCUUCUAGUUAGCCGGGAGCUAAGGCGAGGCCGAAAGGCGUAGUCGAUGCACAUACGGUUGAGAUUCCGUAGCCACCUUAAAUUUAAACUAAGGGACACAUUGAAAGGGAAUAACCCAGGCGUUGGUUGACCUGGGCGUAAGGGAACGAAAAUAAGUAGUGAAGUAUUCUUGGACAGUGGCGAGAAAAGCUUAGUGUAUAUUAUUAGGGUGCCCGUACUGCAAACCGACACAGGUAGUCAGGAAGAGAAUUCUAAGGCCAUCGGGAGAAGCGUUGUUAAGGAACUCGGCAAAUUGACCCCGUAACUUCGGAAUAAGGGGUGCUCACGAGAGUGAGCCGCAGUGAAUAGGUCCAGGCAACUGUUUAUCAAAAACACAGCUCUCUGCUAAAUCGUAAGAUGACGUAUAGGGGGUGACACCUGCCCGGUGCUGGAAGGUUAAGAGGAGGAGUGCAAGCCCCGAAUCGAAGCCCCAGUAAACGGCGGCCGUAACUAUAACGGUCCUAAGGUAGCGAAAUUCCUUGUCGGGUAAGUUCCG